rnacentral:rRNA from 1 species
UACAUGGGGUGCACACGUUGCUCGGAAUUAUUGGGCGUAAAGCGUGCGUAGGCGGUCGCUUAAGUCGGAUGUGAAAGCCCUCGGCUCAACUGAGGAAGUGCAUCCGAAACUGAGUGGCUAGAGUAUGGUAGAGGGUCGCGGAAUUCCCGGUGUAGAGGUGAAAUUCGUAGAUAUCGGGAGGAACACCAGUGGCGAAGGCGGCGACCUGGGCCAAUACUGACGCUGAGGUGCGAAAGCGUGGGGAGCAAACGGG